rnacentral:lncRNA from 1 species
AGAGCACAAAGUUCCCUGUUAGGUAUUUAGGCUCCCAAAUAUAUCAAAAUUCUCAUUGUUCGUGGUUAUAAUUGGACGAUAUGACAAACAAAUCAAGUCCAAAUACGUUGUCCGAAACAAAUUGUAACCUCAUGUCUAACACAUGUUCCAAAGAUGGUUCAGAUGAAGAAGAACUGCAUCAGUUAAAGGCGAAUAUAUGGAGCUGGAUACAAUAUUGUUAGAUUGCUGAACGCAUGGUACGCAAAUACCUAUCACCAAAUAGAGGCCACGAUACUUAUUCCGUACAUGUUACAGAAUAUGCAUAUGUAUCCACAAACACGCUUUCAAAAGUUCAGAAUGUACCCUCCAAUGUUUAGACAUUUUACGCAUAUUCUUCGAGACCAAUAUGGUUUAGCAAAUAGUAAAAUCAUUGAUAUAUACGAACAGAUUGGUAUGUUCUUGUGCAUACUAGCACACGGGAACGAUUAUAUACAGGUGCAAACGUAGUUCGGACAUUCGCUGUAGACCAUUGCCCAUUACUUCAAGUCGUGCUUCGUGUUGUUGCUGCAUUGGCCACAGACAUGAUUCAACUGCAUGACAACUACAACCACGACGCGACACAUCAUCAUCCAGAUCCCGAACAUUACCAUUUUUUCAGGUAUAUAUUCGUUGUUCAAAAUUUUUACAGUCAGAUACCUGUGCAUACUCUUAUCAUUAGUUAGAAAUGCAUGUUAAAAAAUACAACACAACAUGAUUGUAUUGGUGUUAUUGACGGCACACAUGUGCGGACAGUGUUGCCCCGACAAAUGGAUUAACAUCAUUGGAAAAAAGAAGUACGCACUCAUAACGUGUUGGUCGCUUGUGAUUUCAACUUGUGCUUCACGUUCGUAUUGCCGAGUGCAACGUGGAACACGCACGAUAUUCAUAUUCUAUCUCUAGUAGUGCAUAAUUCGGACAUACAUUUUUUCCCAACCGUUAAACCGGAAAUACUACUUGGUGGACUCGGGUUUUGCACAUAGGCCGGGGUACAUGGCUCCGUACAAGGGAUCGAACGUACAUUAUCACGUUUAGGAAAUUUGGGAUCGUGGUGGUGGCCGAUGUCGAUUCCGAAAUGCCUGCGAAAGAUUCAAAUUCCAUCACUCGUCCUACCAUAACAUUAUUGAGCUGGCAUUCGGUGUUUGGAAGGAGAGAUGGAAAAUACUCGAUAGAAUGCCUAGUUAUUCUUUUCGAGCGCAAAUCACUGUUAUCAUGGCAGCAAUGGGAGUUCAUAAUUUUCUACGACGAAACGGAGAAAGUGGUCGACAAGGAAGUUGAGGUUGACUUACCUGAUGAGAACGAUGAAUUUGCAGAUGAGGAAGAUGCAAUUGCGAAUUAAAACAUCAUGUGGCACCAAUUACGUGAUUAUAUGGCACAAGCCCUACAUUAAUUAGUUGAACGAAUUACGGUGAUUAUUUGCUUAAUAAGUUCUAAAAACAUGUAAAUCAUGUGACAACGGGCAUGUAUUUGUAAUUUCAUUUGUUGCAACAUGACAUGUUUUGGAUUAUUGGAAGAGGCAACAAUGUUGUAUUUCUCGGCAAUGUGUUAUGCCAAUUAGCGGAAUUAUGUAACAUUUACAGUAUUCCAUUCAACAUUCAAAAUAGUAGGGGCAAUAUUGUCAUUGGAGGCAUUAAUGGUGAUUUUCAAAUAUAAAAGAUUCAUG